GGCCUGUUCGUCUAACGGUUAGGACGUAAGAUUCUCAUUCUUGAAAUAGGAGUUCGAUUCUCCUACGGGCUA
rnacentral:tRNA from 1 species